AGUUCAAAGUGAACAUGCGUCAGUGCUGGUUCUUGGCCAAGAUCUAUCGUUUCACUGGCGGGACACUGGAGUCAAGCUGUUCGGUUUAGCUAAGUCCCAAUGUGCCGAGAGAGAAAAAGGGAUGCAGUUGUUUGUCGCCUCAUUGAGUACCUUGGGGAACAUCAAGAAGAUCUCAUCCAAGAUUGCUAGGAUGAAAAUGAGGACAACAUGGACUAAACCAUGAAGGUGCUUGUGAUCCAUAAUCCUGCAGCCAAGGAGCAUACAGCAGAUGUGUCGAUUGCGAUGGAGGGAAACAAAGUGCUGAACGUGUGUGGAAACCGAACCAAGGCAUGUGUGCUGUUGAUGGGAUUGAUCUACGCUCUCAAACUUCAGUAUUCCAAGAAGCUUGAGAAUACUUAAAGUAUUUCAGAAACUCUUUUGGUGCUUGACAGAGCAAAGCUGCUCAAGAAGGUCCAGAGCCUCAAAAGUAAGCUAAUGAUGAACUGUUUGUCACCGUAUUCAGGCACAGACUGUUUCCUGGGAACUUACUGUCGGUGCUGAAGAAUGCUCACUUUACAAUGCAGUCAGACAAUUUCAUCUCCCAAAGAGCAGUGGCACAU